rnacentral:rRNA from 1 species
AAGCCUGAUCCAGCCAUGUCGCGUGAGGGAUGACGGCCCUACGGGUUGUAAACCUCUUUUGUCGGGGAGCAAAUUCCGCCACGCGUAGCGGAGUCGAGAGUACCCGAAGAAAAAGCAUCGGCUAACUCCGUGCCAGCAGCCGCGGUAAUACGAAGGGGGCUAGCGUUGCUCGGAAUCACUGGGCGUAAAGAGCACGUAGGCGGCCUUGCAAGUCAGAUGUGAAAUCCAACGGCUUAACCGUUGAACUGCAUUUGAAACUGCAAGGCUAGAGUAUGGGAGAGGUAGGUGGAAUUCUCGGUGUAGGGGUAAAAUCCGUAGAGAUCGAGAGGAAUACUCAUUGCGAAGGCGACCUGCUGGAACAUUACUGACGCUGAGGUGCGAAAGCGUGGGGAGCAAACA